UCGAUGAAGAACGCAGCGAAAUGCGAUAAGUAAUGUGAAUUGCAGAAUUCAGUGAAUCAUCGAAUCUUUGAACGCACCUUGCGCCCUUUGGUAUUCCGAAGGGCAUGCCUGUUUGAGUGUCAUUAAAUUAUCAACCUUGCUCGCUUUUACUAGCUUGAGUUAGGCUUGGAUGUGAGGGUUUUGCUGGCUUUCGUGGUCUGCUCCCUUUAAAUGCAUUAGUGGGAUCUAUUGUGGACCGUCACUUGGUGUGAUAAUUAUCUAUGCCUUGGGACUUUGAAACAAACUUAUUAGAAUCCGCUCAUAACCGUCCUCACGGACAACUAUUGACAAUUUGACCUCAAAUCAGGUAGGACUACCCGCUGAACUUAA
rnacentral:rRNA from 1 species